CCAAGGAGUCUAACAUCUAUGCGAGUGUUUGGGUGUCAAGCCCGCACGCGUAAUGAAAGUAAACGGAGGUGGGAACCCUUACGGGUGCACCAUCGACCGAUCCUGAUGUCUUCGGAUGGAUUUGAGUAAGAGCAUAGCUGUUGGGACCCGAAAGAUGGUGAAMUAUGCCUGUGUAGGCUGAAGUCAGAGGAAACUCUGACRAUAUCGCAGCGGUUCUGACCGUGCAAAUCGAUCGUCAAACAUGGGUAU
rnacentral:rRNA from 1 species